rnacentral:rRNA from 1 species
CCUACGGGUGGCAGCAGUAGGGAAUAUUGCUCAAUGGGGGAAACCCUGAAGCAGCAACGCCGCGUGGAGGAUGACGGUUUUAUGAUUGUAAACUCCUUUUUUUAGAGAAGAUAAUGACGGUACCUCACGAAUAAUCACCGGCUCACUCCGUGCCAGCCGCCGCGGUAAUACGGAGGGUGCAAGCGUUAUUCGGAAUCACCGGGCGUAAAGAGUGCGCAGGGGGGCUUGUAAGUCAGCUGUGAAAUCCUGUAGCUUAACGACCGAACUGCAUUGGAAACUAUGGGUCUAGAGUGUGGGAGAGGUAGGUGGAAUUCUGGGUGUAGGGGUAAAAUCCGUAGAUAUCAAGAAGAAUACUCAUUGCGAAGGCGACCUACCGGAGCAUAACUGACGCUCAUGCACGAAAGCGUGGGGAGCAAACAGGAUUAGAUACCCUUGUAGUC